UCCGCAGGCAGACUAAUAAGUCAGUGGUGAAAUCUCUCGGCUCAACCGAGAAACUGCCAUUGAUACUGUUAGUCUAGAGUGUAGUUGGCGUAGGCGGAAUAUAUCAUGUAGCGGUGAAAUGCUUAGAUAUGAUAUAGAACACCGAUCGCGAAGGCAGCUUACGAAACUACAACUGACGCUCAGGGACGAAAGCGUGGGGAGCGAACAGGAUUAGAUACCCUGGUAGUCC
rnacentral:rRNA from 1 species